rnacentral:lncRNA from 1 species
CCGAUUCCAGGAAACGAGUCGUAUUGGAAUGCAAUCGACGGUCAGCUUAAAAAAAUCCAGCGCAUUUGAACCUGUGCAUCUCAAGGACUGGUGAAAUUAACAGACAGCUGCGGCUAGGCAAGAUCGUACUAAGAUGCGGCGUGCAAGAAUGACUUCACGUAAGGCCCGCAUCGGAGAGCGCCCCAAAUUUUGAAGCGGUCGCAACCUGUUUUUUUCAGAAAGAGGAGAGAUCGCCCAUAAGGCCUGGAUGACCUGACAGAUUUCAUUGGGCUCAUAGCGCUU